rnacentral:rRNA from 1 species
UGAUGUGGUUUAAUUCGAUGCAACGCGAAAACCUUACCCACCUUUGACAUGUACGGAACUUACCAGAGAUGGUUUGGUGCUCGAAGAGAGCCGUAACACAGGUGCUGCAUGGCUGUCGUCAGCUCGUGUCGUGAGAUGUUGGGUUAAGUCCCGCAACGAGCGCAACCCUUGUCAUUAGUUGCUACGAAAGGGCACUCUAAUGAGACUGCCGGUGACAAACCGGAGGAAGGUGGGGAUGACGUCAAGUCCUCAUGGCCCUUAUAGGUGGGGCUACACACGUCAUACAAUGGCUGGUACAAAGGGUUGCCAACCCGCGAGGGGGAGCCAAUCCCAUAAAGCCAGUCGUAGUCCGGAUCGCAGUCUGCAACUCGACUGCGUGAAGUCGGAAUCGCUAGUAAUCGUGGAUCAGCAUGUCACGGUGAAUACGUUCCCGGGUCUU